ACUGAGCACAUAACCAACAGGUACUUAAUAAAACUUUCUGGCAAUGAGUGAAUGGCUAUGUCCUUUCCUUGGGUUGUAGAUUCUACUUUUACUUUCUACUUCUACUUUCCCUGGGUUGUAGAUACUUGGGCACCAACAAAGAGUUGACUCUAAAAUUAUGUGACUCUAGUUCAUCAAACUGUGUCUUUUGCCAAAAGGCAAAGCUCAAUUGUUACUGUAACUUUUAGAGACUACUGAAAGUUAAAAAUCAAAGUUACCAGGAAUUUCUAAUUCUACAAAAAAGUGAAAAUUAGCUUGAGAAAAGCAAUGCUAUAAAGAUACCAGUUGUUAAAAAGUAUGUAUAGGUCAGGUAAAGUGUAGAAUUAUGGUUUAGGAGUGUCACAGCUACCAUAUCUUCCCCUCAAAUCCAUUCUUCUCAGAGGAUUCCCUUUUUCAGCCACUGCAACCUGAUCCCACCCACCUCCUAUCUCCCAUACUAGGUUCCUUUCCUUAACCCACUUUCUCAUUGUUCUUUGUCUGAAUUUACUUCCCAACACCUAUUUUUUUAGCUUAAAAAAGGGACUAUAAAGACCCCCUUUAUGCAAAAUAAUAAAGGAUACAUGAUUAAAUGGCAUUUAAGUUAUUUUAGGCAUAAAUCUGAAAUGAAAUAAUCCCCAAAAGUCACCCGCUCCAUCUGCCAGCCUCUAGGCGAGAUGCCACUUCAACCAUCAAAGGGAAGUGGGAGUCCUCAGCUUAGUCUGUGUCACUGGAAAGAAGUUGUUGUUGUUGUUUAACAGAAGUCCUUAUUAGUAUUAUGUGCCUUCCUAAACUGUGAAAUCCAUUAAGAUUUUGAUGAUAAAAAUUACAUUUCAAAUUUAAAAAUAUUAGGAGGGUUUUGAAUAAAGUUGGAAAUAAGUAGUCAAUGGGUUAAUUAUAUCAUUCUGGUAUUUUUUGUCUGUGUCUUCCUCAGAAGCAGAAAAGUCUUUUCUUUUUAAAUUUUAAGGUAAGAAUUUGUAUCAGGAGUUAGAACCCAACAAUUCGAACAUAAAAACUGGUAAAUUAGCAAUGAAUAUCUAGUCCUUUCAUUUUAUCUAUAUUUCUGAGAAAUUCCUUUGAUGAAAAUAGAAAAACCACUUUUGUUACAGGAGAUUUUUAAUUUAGUAUUAAUUUGUAAUAUUUAAAAUAUCUUUAUCUUUUUUGGGUAUUGAUAAUGUUCAAAAAUUAGACUGUGGUGAUAGUUGCACAGCUCUGUGAAUACCCUAAAAACCAUUAAAGUGUAUACUUUAAUGGGUAGAUUGUUCAGUAUGUGAAAUUUAUCUCAACAAAUCUAUGAAAAGAGAGAGAAAAAUAUUUAUGACAUAUUGGAAUGUAUCACCUUUAAACUGGGAGCAGAUCCCAAUCAAGUGAAAACUAAGAGAGCUAUUGUAUCGUAUGCAACACAAUAUGCUUUCUAAGAAGUAACCCUCAAUCUUGACAAGUCAACCCUUCUCCUGCAUCCUAAGCAUCCUUGUAGGUAUGGGUAGUGUUUUAUUUUAACCUUUUCUCACAUAACUGGGAACAGCUAUGUCCAAACUUAUUCACAGCAAGUGAAGACACAACUAGUUUGAAGUAGAUGCAGAAAAAUGAGGCUUUCCACUGAAGCUGCAGCCUAUCACUGCUUGGCCUAACAGCUGGAUUAAAUGCUCCAUUAUACUCAAGUUAGCUGGGGUUGUUAUAUGUGCCCUUGAACAGAAACCUUACAUUUUAAAUUUCAUUUCUCGCUAACAAAAUGCAAUUUAAAAAUCUGUAAAAGGUAAAAUUUAACAUUAUCAAGUGCACUUUAAAAAUUAAAUCUUGACCUGAUCAAAACAGACCCUUAAAACUUAACUCACCAAAGCAAUGAUCUAAGUACAGGAAAAGUCAUUUAAAGAUAAUAAAAGUUCCUUUCCCAUAUUAAAAUACAAUACAGAUCAAUUAUCCAAUGUCACAUUCAUGCAGUCAUCCUCCCUUACUUGUUUGCUCCUUAAGGCAACUAAGAUUUUGUUUCUCAAGUAUUCUAAUCCUAUUGAAAACUUCUAGGAGGUGGAGUUGCUUUGAAUUAGUGAAAAGUCAGAGUUUGAGGGUACUUCAUACAAAAUACAGUAUUUGCAUGCUAAAACACAUGAAGACAAAUCUAAGACUAAUAAAUGAUAAAGCAAGAAUGCACUCGACCUAAGUAAAUAAAAGAGUAGCAUUUAAAAUUGUACCAAAGUGACAGUAGAGAAAAUAGCCCUUCUACAAAUCUCUGUCCUACCAUUAAGCUCACAUAUUUGUCUAACAAAAACCUUCCUCCCACACCCACACACACAACAGUGUAAAACUCUCUCGCUCUUUCUUUCCAAAGGCAAUAAUAUUCAACUUAGUUCUGUCUGAAUCACAGCUAAUAUACUGGUGUAGCCUGCCUCAAUCUUUGUACUGUAUACAGUAUCUGUUCUCUAUGUAGAAAUGGGGCUGAGCAUUUGGGACUGCAAGGCACAAAAGACUCGACCUUAAAAUCAACCGUGUUGUCUAGAUCUAAUCCUCCAUCUAAGCAGAAUUAGUGACGUCAAACCAGUUUCCAUGGCACAGCCAGACUCAUGACAACUCUGUUAUAUCAAGCAGAAGGACAAAAUGGGCUGCGCUUAAUUGCACACAGAAACAAACAUGAAACUAAACCCUGGUUAAUCUCUCAUUUUCUGGGGACUCGGGAACAAUUAUAAGAUUGGAAGGUACAUUAAGAAUUUUUGCUGAAGUUCUAUAAUGAAGACUCAUGUUGCUCAUACUUCAGCACAUUUUCUAGUUUGUUAUGACAAAUAUCCAAAUAAACAAGUCAAGCAAUGUUUUCUGUAAUGCAACAUUCUUAAUUCAUUAUACUGCUUACUUGCUAACAGCCACACAAUGCUGUCUCAGUGGUACAAAUUACUGAGGAUCUACUAGAACUAAAAUGUUGCGAAAAAACCCAAAGCAGAAAACACCAAUUGCUGACAGGAAAGUACCUUUUCAUAUAAACAUAUUCUCUUUAAUUACUAGUCCUCCCACAAGCCAGACAUUAAAUUCGCCCAACUCUAUAAAACUCAGUCCCUCACACUUACAGCUUCCUAUAGAUAUGCUCUCUCAUGGAAUUCCCUGAGACCUGUGAAAUUCCCAAUAAGACUCCCUUGUCACCUGGAUUAAAAAAAAAAUUGCCAAGCCUUUAUUUUAUAAGUGCUUUAAUAUUCUAUCAGACUGUUGUGGUAUCCUUGUCCACACCUCUAUAAAAAUUCUACUGUCAUAGAGGACGUAAUAGGUCUCCUUUGAAGUAAGUCACUGUUUUCUACCUUCCUUAGAAACCUCAUCACUGUCCCACAGUGCAGGUGGGAAGAGAGACCUGCUGCUAUGAGGAACCGGAACUGCAGGGUUAAUCCUAGUGGGGACUGCUAACUGCAUACAGAAUUUGAUUGUAGCCAAGGAAGAAUGUACAAAAAAAAAAAAAAAAAAAAAAAAAAUUCCAUCCCAAUUCUUCACAUUUCCACUUCAUAUCAAGGAGUACAAAAGCAGGCUCUUGAGGGGGAGGGUUGUCAUUAUAUAUAUUUUUUAAAGCUUAAAUAUAAUACUGAAAUUGGCACAGACAGUUCUGUAACAGACGCUCACGAAGACUGAGAAACCUAUAAAAAUAGAGAUCUAUGUCAAAAAGAAUCUUAGAACACAGGGGUCAGGUGUAUAAUUAGAACCAGCAAUCCAAAUACUUACAUUGUACAAAUAUUGCUUUGUGGAAGAAAGUUUGCAAACAUUCAGCACAUGAAAGAGAAUUACCUGCCCUAAAACACCAUAACAUGUCAUAAUUCCACCUUAAGCAAUACAGUUAUGAAAGGGGCUAUUUUUAGCUUUCCCAUGGUUGUUAUGGCAACCACCUCCUGGCUCCAGCUGUACACAAUGUUUAUAACUCCAGGGAAGUGAAAAGAGCAACUUUCCUCUAUAAUGUAAUUAUGUACUUUCUACAUCUAUGGUAAAAAUACCUUAGUUUGAUUAUAGGUACUUGUUUAGCGAUAGUCAGUUGGCCCUAGGCUAUAGUUCUAGAGGGUUUGGAAAAUCUCCCACAUCAGAGGUGGAAGCAGUGGAAGGAAAACAACAACAAAGGACCAUGAUAAAGGACUCUGCUGUUACUCAAUGGAGAUACUAAUGCUAUGGAAACCAGCCAUAGGAAAUAAGCCAUUUGGGGAUGGUGUAAAGAGCAGGCUAUAAUGAAACCACUUAUAAUAUGUAAGAUAACAGAAAUCUACAACAUAUUUCUCAAUCAAAAUGAAGACAUUCGGCAUGUACUAGCAGAACCAAUUCAAACUGGAACAAAGAUGGGGCGAGUGGACAUUGCCUUUUCCUCCAAGGGUUGGUUUGACAUCUUAUAAUCACUUUAUAUAACAGCCAUUCUCCCAGUAAAAAGUGAAAAACCAGAGGAAGAGGUCUUGCUUCAUCCAACUCCACUGAUUUUGGCUUUGAGAGAAUACAGCUUUAAGAAGGUAUUCCCGGGAAUAUCCCAGGAACUCUAUCCGCCCCCUCAGAAUAGUAGGCAAUUGAGUUAGUGAUGGUGACUCAGGCAGGCUUUUUCAUCCUGAUCUAAAGGAACCACUACAACCCUAGAGAGAGAAAUAAAAAGGGAAUCGAGUGGAAAAGGCCUCCACCACCGAUGACUCAUGCUCUACUGUGACUCGCCUGGCACAUCACUCUGUGGCUAAGACAUGGAGGCUUGGUUCAUUAGUCACUUCAGUGAUUUUUUCAAAGCAAGGAUUCUCCCUCUAAAUAAUUAUGAGCUCUGCUUCCACAGUGUUUGUAUGUGAGCUUGUGACUCACCUUUCCACCAUGCCAGGCAGUACCAAUUGUGUCAUCUGCAAGAGAGAAAGCAAAACAUCCAUGAUGGCCGAGGAUGCAGGCAACAGAAAAAGAGUGAAGAAAACUCACCCACACUAAAAAGAAGGGAAUCAUGAAACCAUUCACCACUUCUACAGACAGCAGGUUAUUUUCUGUACACUGUAGAAUGUGACUGUGUCAAGAGGGCAUAAAAAGGAACCAGCUGAAAUUACUGGAGAGAACACAGGGAAUACUUUAAUGAACCUGGCUAAAAUUAGUCUUGCCUGAAAUGUAAUACUGGCACAGAGUUCUUCAAACAAUGAAGGAUUUACAGUGAAAAUCUACAUUUCCCAAAAUGCAUUCUCAGAAAAGAAUAUAUGUUAUCAGAAGAAAUAUCCUGCCUACCAAGAUGACUUAAGCUUUCUAACCUCAAGAGCUCACAUAAACUUUUCCAGCCAAAAAAAGUCUUUAAAAGAAUACCAUAAAGUGGUAGGUUGGCAAAGAGUAAGUGUAACUUCACAUUCAUUUCUCUUGUUGGUCUAGUUAGCUGUAAGUAAAACUCAUCCUUAAAGAGA